AGUUUAGCUGACAAAAAUUGAGCGUCAUGCAGCGAUGACAGUCAAGUUAAGGCAGCAAAAUGACUAGUUUCCUGGGUGAAACACUUGUGUUUCCCCCAGUAAUGAACUCUGAUCCCCGGCUUGAAAGCGUUGUGUUUUAUGGGGUUAGGGUUAGGGUUAGAGGAUUACGUGGAAUGCUUAUGCAUUACAGUCCUUAACGUUUCGUAGCUAUAUUUACAACAUGGUUCAUGAGAACAGCUUGAAGCUAACACCACUGUGUCCCUGUUAUGCAGCGACUGUUUUCCAUCCUCUGUAUCUUCAAAAAAAAAAAGAAAAAAAAAAAAAAAAGAUGUGUGCUUUUGUCGGUGCAUCUAGCACCGGGAAGGUUUUGGUUCCUUUAGCCACAGUUGUGUUUCUUUUCCCCAACUGGACAUGAAUGUGCCACAAAACUGCACAUUUUCUUUGAACAUUGUAGUUAAGUGUACCUUGUGCCUAUAUGACCCCCAUCCUCUCCUGUACUCAUCUAAAACUAUUCUAAUGUCUGUUUCUUGCUCAAGUCCCUCACUAGAGUUUUCUACAAAAAAAAGGCAAUUUCUUUGUAAAUACCACGUGUCGGAGCAGCUAUGACUAACUACAACAAAACGAGAAAAAAAAGAUUUAAUAAAUAUUUCUUUGUCGUUGUAA